UGGCCAUGAUAUUGUGACGUUGAGUGUGUUCUAGUUGCAGCGUGAAGCUGUUGAAGUGAAUGUUCUCUCUCACAGGUGCUCUUGCGUUUGUGGCCGGUGGACUGGUUCUGCUGUUACCUGAAACCAAAGGUGUGCCUCUUCCAGAAACCAUUGAUGACAUUGACUGUCCAAACAGAAACAAAGAAAACCAGCUGAAGAGGCAACAGCUAGAGAAUUUGCUGCCCUCUGAUGUGACAUCGAACAAAGAAGUUACAGCAGUCUGAUUGAGCGGAGACAGAAAACAGCAACCUCCUUAACUUUAUUAUUAAGUGAUGCUGCUUAUCUCUUCUCUUUUGAGGAUUUAAUCAAAAUAUACAAACUGAAAUCAGUUUCUUAUUAAUCAACAAGUUUUGCCAUCCCAAUAAAAGUUAAUGAACAAUUUGAAUCUUUUCAGACUUAAAAAUAUUAAUUUGAUUUAGUAAUAAAGGCAAAAAAAAA